rnacentral:rRNA from 1 species
GACGAACGCUGGCGGCGUGCUUAACACAUGCCAGUCGAACGGAAAGGCCCUGCUUUUGUUGGUUGCUCGAGUGGCGAACGGGUGAGUAACACGUGAGUAACCUGCCCUUGACUUUGGGAUAACUUCAGGAAACUGGGGCUAAUACCGGAUAGGAGCUCCUGCUGCAUGGUGGGGGUUGGAAAGUUUCGGCGGUUGGGGAUGGACUCGCGGCUUAUCAGCUUGUUGGUGGGGUAGUGGCUUACCAAGGCUUUGACGGGUAGCCGGCCUGAGAGGGUGACCGGCCACAUUGGGACUGAGAUACGGCCCAGACUCCUACGGGAGGCAGCAGUGGGGAAUAUUGCACAAUGGGCGGAAGCCUGAUGCAGCAACGCCGCGUGCGGGAUGACGGCCUUCGGGUUGUAAACCGCUUUCGCCUGUGACGAAGCGUGAGUGACGGUAAUGGGUAAAGAAGCACCGGCUAACUACGUG